UAGUGACGAAAAAUAACGAUACGGGACUCAUCCGAGGCCCCGUAAUCGGAAUGAGUACACUUUAAAACUUUUCCCGAGGAUCAAUUGGAGGGUAAGUCUGGUGCCAGCAGCCGCGGUAAUUCCAGCUCCAAUAGCGUAUAUUAAAGUUGUUGCGGUUAAAAAGCUCGUAGUCGAAUCUGUGUCCCGCGCCGCUGGUUCAUCGCUCGCGGUGUUUAACUGGCGUGUCUCGCGGGACGUCCUGCCGGUGGGCGCUCGUAUCGUUUCGGCGGUGCGUGGCCCAACUCGUAGCCGUCUCGCGCGGUUGCGAAUCCCAUCGCGGUGCUCUUUAUUGAGUGUCGAGGUGGGCCGGCACGUUUACUUUGAACAAAUUAGAGUGCUUAAAGCAGGCCAAUUUUGCCUGAAUAUUGUGUGCAUGGAAUAAUGAAAUAGGACCUCGGUUCUAUUUUGUUGGUUUUCGGAACCCCGAGGUAAUGAUUAAUAGGAACGGAUGGGGGCAUUCGUAUUGCGACGUUAGAGGUGAAAUUCUUGGAUCGUCGCAAGACGGACAGAAGCGAAAGCAUUUGCCAAAAACGCUUUCAUUGAUCAAGAACGAAAGUUAGAGGUUCGAAGGCGAUCAGAUACCGCCCUAGUUCUAACCAUAAACGAUGCCAGCUAGCGAUCCGCCGACGUUCCUCCGAUGACUCGGCGGGCAGCUUCCGGGAAACCAAAGCUUUUGGGUUCCGGGGGAAGUAUGGUUGCAAAGCUGAAACUUAAAGGAAUUGACGGAAGGGCACCACCAGGAGUGGAGCCUGCGGCUUAAUUUGACUCAACACGGGACACCUCACCAGGCCCGGACACCGGAAGGAUUGACAGAUUGAUAGCUCUUUCUUGAUUCGGUGG
rnacentral:rRNA from 3 species